UACGUAGGAGGCGAGCGUUGUCCGGAGUUACUGGGCGUAAAGGGUGCGCAGGUGGCCGUGCGCGUGGGGCGUGAAAUCGCCUGGCUUAACUGGGCGGGGGCUUUCCAGACGGCGCGGCUUGAGCCACAGAGGGGGGCGUGGAAUUCCGGGUGGAGCGGUGAAAUGCGUAGAGAUCCGGAGGAACACCGACGGCGUAGGCAGCGCCCUGGCUGUGAAUAAAGCUGACACUGAGGCACGAAAGCUGGGGGAGCAAACAGG
rnacentral:rRNA from 1 species